UACAGAGGUCUCAAGCGUUGUUCGGAUUCAUUGGGCGUAAAGGGUGCGUAGGUGGCGCCGUAAGUCAGGUGUGAAAUUUCGGAGCUUAACUCCGAAACUGCAUUUGAUACUGCGGUGCUUGAGGACUGGAGAGGAGACUGGAAUUCACGGUGUAGCAGUGAAAUGCGUAGAUAUCGUGAGGAAGACCAGUGGCGAAGGCGGGUCUCUGGACAGUACCUGACACUGAGGCACGAAGGCCAGGGGAGCAAACGGG
rnacentral:rRNA from 1 species